rnacentral:lncRNA from 1 species
UGAGACAAUGAGUCACAAUAGGCUAAAUAGUUCUUCAUAGCCGGAAGGAGAAAAACUGCGGUGUUGAUAUAGUCAAUAUAGAAAGAAAUUCGAAAGGUAUAUACCUAAACUCUAUCAUUUCAAGAAGAUAUUAACAUAAGAAAAAUUUGUCUUCAUAUCUACUUUAUACAUUCAUACAUAUUGGGUGUUACUAAGUACCUAUAGAGAUUAUAAAAUUAUGAAUAAUCUGUUCUUAUCAUCAUGAGAGUGGUACAACCACAAUUAAAGAAAUUCAGAAAAAGGUUUUAGGAAUCUAAAACAAUUAUAGAAACUAUUAACAAAGAAUCUUGAGACCUUCUUAUAUACUUAGUAAAUGUAUUAUGUAUUCCAAGAAAUAACAAGCUAAGUGCACAUAAGAAAAUAUCUGGAAAGAAAAAUAAGAAGAAAUAGAUAACUAAGCUUACUAAAAAAUACUUAAGUGCUCUCCGUUUUUACGUAAGUGGUGUUUUAUAACAGAAAUAAAAAGUAACAUUUGAAUAUUCAAAUGAUCAAGUUGCUAAAGUUUAUUGUAAAAAGCUAGCUAUCAAGGAAUAAGUUGAAGUAAUAAGAUCAAUUAGCUGGUAGAUGAUGAACUUUAAAGACUCAUUUGGUACAAUAGAUAAACAGAUAUAUAACUCAAGUUUGUUGUUAAAUUCUUUUUCUUUUGUAGUGGACACAAUUGAUUUGGUUUAGUAUUUGAAAAACUCGAAUUAGUCUAGCCUAUUGUUUGAGUCUUUAGAAAAAAUCGUGCAUGUUUGGCCAAAUACCCACUUAAUUCCACCUCACCACCAACUUUUCCAAUUUAACAAUUUCAGCCCCAACCUUUAUAAUAAUUCAUUUUAACUCAAUACUUCCAACAAAAUAAAUUCACCCACAAGUUUCUAAUAAUACACUUCAACCCACUCCAUCAUCCACCACUAUAUAUAUAAAAAUAAUAUCUAGGUUUCCAAAAAUAUUAAAAAAAAUAAUUUCAAAAGCUAAAAUAGAAAGUGGUUAUUUUUCCCACCAAAAAGCUCCGAUUUUGGCCACUUUUUCGGCGUUAUUUUCCGGCGAUCAGUUGUAAAUUAGUCCACAAACAUCAUAAGCUUGUCCAUUGCAUCCAUUGUUACCCCAUUUGUUUCCUAUCUUCUCAAACACACUUUUCACCAUUGUUAAAAAGCUUUAAAUCACUCACAUUACUCAAAACCACUUUAGAAAGUGCAUUACAGCAGCUCAGGCGACUCCAAGUUUAUUUCUUUAUUCCAUAAACCCAACAAUCAUUGAUUACAAGAAAUAUUUACAAAUUCAAGUAUUUGUACGAAAAUCUGCGCAGUCAUCGACCCGUCCUCACCAGUCAUCGACCGUGCAUACAACACGACAUAGACCACAAGCAUAAUCUACCAUCGACCGAAGCUUAAUUCUAGGAUGUCUAUUGCAGAAUUUGUUCUGGUUUCUGGUGAUUUCAUGGGAGAAUGGGUGGAGACUUCGAAAUGUUGGAAAUGGAGAUCAUUCACCAAGGUGACAAUUUCCAUUCCUGUUCGCCGCAACAGUUCGUACGACGAAUUUUUUGCAAGCGUAAUGCAGAGUGGGGAUCUAGAUUGCGCGUCGAGCGACGUGGUGAUUAGUUAUGUAAUGCAUUCGAGGGAAAAGGUGAGUCCCACUAUCAUAAAUAGCGAUGUACGUGUGCUGACGUACAUAAUAGAUGCUGAUGCAGAUGGCUUUAGGCCAAUUUUGAGGAUAAAUAUGGUUGAGAGGUCCUUUGAAGGACCGCUGAAUUGAUCAGCACCCCCACCGCGGCGCUCGACAGUCGACGAUGAUUUGAUCGACGGCGAUUUGAAUGAUUACGAGAACAAUGUUGAUGAUACAAUUAAUAUGGAAGAUUAUUCUAUGCAUAUGGAAAACUUUUCAUCGGACUCGCAAGAUGAUGAAGAAGACCGUGAAACGAAAUCACAAGCAGGACACUCCUUCACUGACGGAACCAGUUUCUAUUGUGGUCAAACAUUCGCAGAUAAAAAAUAGUUGAAAAUGUAACUAGACGCAGCAGCGGCGAGACAUUCUUUUGAUUAUUAUAUGGAGAAGAGUAGCAUGAAAUUGAUGAAGGCGCAAUGCUUAUCUCGUGGUUGUGGCUGACUGUUGCGGCCAAAAAAGUACGAACCUUGGACAGAUUUUGCAUAUACAAGUAUGUCGGGAUGCACACGUGCAGCGUUGAAAAUGCCACCCGCAAGCACAAAAAAAUCUCAUCUGAAUUGAUUGCUUCAGUAUGCGUUAAUCAUUUUUGGGAUGGUAAGGGUCCAAGCAUAAGAGAAAUUCAAAUAAUUGUAUUUAAAGAGUUGCGUUGCAACGCAAGCUAUUGGAUGUGUUGGAAAGGAAGUGUAAUUGCGAAGAACAUCAUUCGCGGGACACCGGAGCACGGAUAUGCUUGCUUGCCGGCUUUUUCCCACAAUGUGGAGUUAUUGAAUCCCGGGUAUUCUUACUCUAUCAUGGUAAACCGGAUGGAUGGAUCGUUCGUUUACUACUUCUUAGCAUUCGAAGCUUGCAGAUGAGGAUAUGACCACAUGAGAAAGGUAAGUGUCGUCGAUGACACAUAUUUGUAUGGCAAGUACGGGGGCGUUCUGCUGAGCGCCGUUGCACAGGACACCGAAAAUCAUAUAUUUCUGAUUGCCUUUUGUAUAGUCGAUAAAGAGAACGAUGCUUCUUGGACCUUCUUCUUCCAGAAGCUGAAGUCUAUCAUAGAAGAUGAACUAGAUCUAUGCGUCAUCUCCGACAGGCACAUUAGCAUCGCCAAUGACUUCUCCCGUGUAUACAGUCGUGCACAUCACGGACUUUGCAUGAGGCACCUCGCUGAAAGUCUUUGCAUAAAUCAACACUGCGGAGAACAUCUUUAUCUAUUCUAUGCCUCGGGAAAGGCUUAUUCCUUUGACGAGUUUAGCGAUAAUUUUGUAGAAUUGAAGAGUAAAUUCCUUGAGGCAACUCAUGUCCUUGAAAAUGUGCUUGAUUUUAAAAAACGGAGUAGAGCACACUUUCCGGGCAAUAGGUAUGACGUGAUGACCACAAAUAUCACCGAGUCGCUCAACUCGAUUUUGAUGGAUGAAAGGGAGUACCCCAUGUCGUACAUAUUCAAUUCAAUUGCUAAAAAAUUUGGUGAAAAGUUUAGGGAGCGGCAUGCAUUUGUCGGUGGUAAAGAGAACAUAUUUGUGUCUUCUGCGGAAAGGAUCCUAAGGGAUAAUAAGAGUGCGAGCGAUUCCUUGUAUGUGGGUAAUACAAAUGGGGUUCUCGACGGGUAUACGGUGUUCGGCAACGACGUUACUGCCAAGGUCAAUCUCUUUGAGAGGAGCUGUUCUUGUCGGAAAUUUGACUUGGUGAAAAGGCCGUGCGAACACGCGAUGGCAGCUUUGCGAGCAAAGAACGACGAUGGCGAAGAUUAUGGUAACUCCAUCUAUGACUACUCUUCGUCAAUUUAUAAAGAUGAAAGUUACCUCCUCGCAUACUCGGAAGCAAUUAACGUGGUCCCUCCGGAGGCUGAAUGGACUGUGCCACAGGAAUUGAUAGACACCAAAAUUUUUCCACCCCCGUAUGAUCCCAAACUCGGAAGGAAGAAAGUCAAGCGCACUAAGGGCGUCGGUGAGACAUUCAAGUCCAAAAGUAGGAAUAGGUGUUCAAUAUGCAAGCAAGAAAUUCACAAAAGAACCACGUAUAGAAUGGGCAUCAAAUCAUAAAUAGGCUUUUUUUUAGUUUCAGUUGUAAAGCUACUAUUUUGGGGGAUGAAUGUGCAUUUCUAUAGAUUUUAACAUUCAGUUAUUAUUGACCUAAAGAUUUGUCUACGAUAGACUAUCUAUAGUCUACGGUAUAUAUAAUAUAUGGUCUAUAAAAUAUUAUGUAUUGAUUAUAUUAUUGUUGAUCUACCAGGUUAUGUUGGUCAUUUUCCCAGCUUAUCUCUCCAAUCGAUGCAAUGAAUCAAUAUUUUCCUUGUUUCCCGUUCCCAUUUAUUAAAAAGCUGCACAAAACAUCUCUUCACAAGGAAAAAC